rnacentral:rRNA from 2 species
CUCAGAUCAUGUAAGAUUUUAAUGAUCGAACAGAUCAAAAUUUUAAACUUUUGCAUUUAAAUUUUAUCUUAAUCCAACAUCGAGGUCGCAAACUUUUUUUUUUAUUUGAACUAAAAAAAAAUAUUACGCUGUUAUCCCUAAGGUAAUUUUUUCUUAUAAUCAUUAUUAAUGGAUCAUUUAAUCAUUUAUUUAUGUUUAAUUUUUAAAAAAAGUUUAUCAUAUUUUUCUAUCACCCCAAUAAAAUAAAUAAUUUUAUUUUAAUAAAAAAUUUAAUAUAAUUUUAAAAUAAAAAUAAAUAUAAAACUCUAUAGGGUCUUCUCGUCUUUUAAAAUUAUUUUAGCUUUUUAACUAAAAAAUAAAUUUCUAAAAAUAAAUAAGAGACAGUCUAUAUUUCAUCAAAUCUUUCAUACAAGUUUCCAAUUAAAAAACUAUUGAUUAUGCUACCUUUGUACAGUCAUUAUACUGCAGCCCUUUAAUAAUUAUCAGUGGGCAGAUUAGACUUUAAAUUAUAUUCAAAAAGACAUGUUUUUG